UGCCCAUUUGAGGGGGAUACCAGUUGGAAACGACUGUUAAUACCGCAUAAUAUCUGCGGAUUAAAGGUGGCCUUUGUGCUGCCGCAGAUGGAUGAGCCUGCGUUGGAUUAGCUUGUUGGUGGGGUAAAGGCCUACCAAGGCUACGAUCCAUAGCUGAUUUGAGAGGAUGAUCAGCCACAUUGGGACUGAGACACGGCCCAAACUCCUACGGGAGGCAGCAGUGGGGAAUAUUGGACAAUGGGGGAAACCCUGAUCCAGCAAUGCCAUGUGUGUGAAGAAGGCUCUAGGGUUGUAAAGCACUUUAGUUGGGGAGGAAAGCUUAUAGGUUAAUAGCCUAUGAGAAGGACGUUACCCAAAGAAUAAGGACCGGCUAACUCCGUGCCAGCAGCCGCGGUAAUACGGGGGGUCCGAGCGUUAAUCGGAAUUACUGGGCGUAAAGGGUCUGUAGGUGGUUUGUUAAGUCAGAUGUGAAAGCCCAGGGCUCAACCUUGGAACUGCAUUUGAUACUGGCAAACUAGAGUAUGGUAGAGGAAUGGGGAAUUUCUGGUGUAGCGGUGAAAUGCGUAGAGAUCAGAAGGAACACCAAUGGCGAAGGCAACAUUCUGGACCAAUACUGACACUGAGGGACGAAAGCGUGGGGAUCAAACAGGAUUAGAUACCCUGGUAGUCCACGCUGUAAACGAUGAGUACUAGCUGUUGGAUUCGGUGUAAAGGAUCUAGUGGCGCAGCUAACGCGUUAAGUACUCCGCCUGGGGACUACGGCCGCAAGGCUAAAACUCAAAGGAAUUGACGGGGACCCGCACAAGCGGUGGAGCAUGUGGUUUAAUUCGAUGCAACGCGAAGAACCUUACCUGGUCUUGACAUCCUGCGAACUUUCUAGAGAUAGAUUGGUGCCUUCGGGAACGCAGUGACAGGUGCUGCACGGCUGUCGUCAGCUCGUGUUGUGAAAUGUUGGGUUAAGUCCCGCAACGAGCGCAACCCCUAUUGAUAGUUACCAUCAUUAAGUUGGGUACUCUAUUGAGACUGCCGCUGACAAGGCGGAGGAAGGUGGGGACGACGUCAAGUCAUCAUGGCCCUUACGACCAGGGCUACACACGUGCUACAAUGGGUAUUACAGAGGGCUGC
rnacentral:rRNA from 1 species